AGCAGUCGCCGCGGUAAUACGAAGGGGGCUAGCGUUGCUCGGAAUUACUGGGCGUAAAGGGAGCGUAGGCGGACUGUUUAGUCAGAGGUGAAAGCCCAGGGCUCAACCUUGGAAUUGCCUUUGAUACUGGCAGUCUUGAGUACGGAAGAGGUAUGUGGAACUCCGAGUGUAGAGGUGAAAUUCGUAGAUAUUCGGAAGAACACCAGUGGCGAAGGCGACAUACUGGUCCGUUACUGACGCUGAGGCUCGAAAGCGUGGGGAGCAAACAGGAUUAGAUACCCCAGUAGUCCCUGUCUCUUAUAC
rnacentral:rRNA from 1 species